CUAAAUAAUCAAUAAUUUUAUUUACAUACAGACGAACUAUCGCCCGAGGACCACACGAUAUCAUCGGCCAGUCUUUGUAUGUCACCAAGCGCGGAUUUAAUUCCCUCUGGACCGCCGUUACACGCGUCCACACCUCUGGAGAGGCGGACGUUAAAUGGCUGCGUGGCUAGAGGGAGACAAAAUAAUAAUGAGAAAGACAGAGAUAGCGAUAUAAUUAACCAUACGGACGUUGUUGACGCUAUCAAUGGGAACGUACAUGUCAACGUAGUUUCGGAGUCCACGAGUAUGGACGUGUUGAGUGGAGGCGAGAGCGAUGCGGGCGACACGCUGAGUAGGCGGAAUAAUAAUAGCUUAUCGUCGCGUAUGACGCUAGGUGAUAUGACGUGUAAGCGUAAGGCCGGUGACGUCACGUACUACGUCGCUAAGGAAUUACUCAUGACGGAACGCACCUACAAGAGGGACUUGGAACUUCUUACUGUU